ensembl:lncRNA
AUGCGAUUUUGUGUGUGCCAAGUGUCCUAUAGCAUGAAAAAGAACCAGGAUCUUUUGUAUUCAGCUUGCAGUUUGCAGCACACAUUUCAUCCUCCUCACUCACACAUAUGGACUCAACAUAAUGAUCCGACUUUGAUUUAUGCAUGUGGGUGUGAAUGCAGGAAGUUGAGUGGUUCGAUCAAUGUUAACGGAGGACAAGCAGGGACCAUCAGUCGAGUGGAAGGCAGAAGACGUCACAGCACUGAUGAAAAUAACAUCCAGGUCGUGUCAGAGCAGUCCUCAGACACAGAGCUAUCUUCCCCAAAGCUCUUGCCCUUCUUUCCUCCCAAUAUCCCACCUCCACCUUUCCCUCCUCCCUCCAUCGGCACCACACAACCCCUCAUACCACCACCACCCGGUUUUCCAUUACCUCCCGGUACCCCUUCUCCAAUGAUACCACCAUUAAAUAGGUGUGUAUUCACCUGCAGUGGGCAUGGCUUCAUGGUCAGGUGUGAUAGACAGUGGCAAAGCAUGGGAAAACUACAACCGCCGUAACAAUGAAAGGGUGAGGGAGAAAACCAGAGAAAGAGGACACAAGAAAGAGCAAGAGGAUGAGAGAGAGCGGUAUAGAGAAACAAAUAGAGAACACAGUCCGUCCUCACAAGAUCACAGAAGUGAGGAGGAGCAUGUGUCUCGACACAGAGAUCACAGUCAUUACGGAAGCGAGAGGUACAAGAAAAGCUCGGGAAGGGAAGGAAUGAGAGACAGACAUCAAGAAAGACGACGCAGAGACAGGAAUGAACAACACAGAUCCUCACGCAGUGGCAGCAGUAGGAGGCGUCAUGAUAGUGAUGACGCAGAUAGCCACAGGAGACACAGGCACAAACGCUCUAGACACAACCGAGGAAGCCUUGAGCCCAGCGAGGACUGCAGUGUGGACCAGGAGAACCAGUCAGAGGCCACAGAAUAA